AGAGUUUGAUCCUGGCUCAGAUUGAACGCUGGCGGCAUGCCUUACACAUGCAAGUCGAACGGCAGCACGGAGCUUGCUCUGGUGGCGAGUGGCGAACGGGUGAGUAAUAUAUCGGAACGUACCCUAGAGUGGGGGAUAACGUAGCGAAAGUUACGCUAAUACCGCAUACGAUCUAAGGAUGAAAGUGGGGGAUCGCAAGACCUCAUGCUCGUGGAGCGGCCGAUAUCUGAUUAGCUAGUUGGUAGGGUAAAAGCCUACCAAGGCAUCGAUCAGUAGCUGGUCUGAGAGGACGACCAGCCACACUGGAACUGAGACACGGUCCAGACUCCUACGGGAGGCAGCAGUGGGGAAUUUUGGACAAUGGGCGAAAGCCUGAUCCAGCAAUGCCGCGUGAGUGAAGAAGGCCUUCGGGUUGUAAGGCUCUUUUGUCAGGGAAGAAACGGUGAGAGCUAAUAUCUCUUGCUAAUGACGGUACCUGAAGAAUAAGCACCGGCUAACUACGUGCCAGCAGCCGCGGUAAUACGUAGGGUGCAAGCGUUAAUCGGAAUUACUGGGCGUAAAGCGUGCGCAGGCGGUUUUGUAAGUCUGAUGUGAAAUCUCCGGGCUCA
rnacentral:rRNA from 1 species